rnacentral:rRNA from 1 species
UGACGAGUUUGAUCCUGGCUCAGGAUGAACGCUAGCGGCAGGCUUAACACAUGCAAGUCGAGGGGUAUAGUUCUUCGGAACUAGAGACCGGCGCACGGGUGCGUAACGCGUAUGCAAUCUACCUUUUACAGAGGGAUAGCCCAGAGAAAUUUGGAUUAAUACCUCAUAGUAUGUGAGAAUCGCAUGGUUUUCACAUUAAAGUUCCAACGGUAAAGAUGAGCAUGCGUCCCAUUAGCUAGAUGGUAA